GAAUUUGAUCCUGGCUCAGAAGGAAGGCUAGCUAUAUGCUUAACACAUGUAAGUUGAACCUUGUUUUUGAAGAGCUAGGCAGAAGGAAAACAGGCUCAACGCGUCAAGUAGCUUGCCUUGCCUUUCAAGGUAGAAAGAAUUGAGAAGAAAGUAACGAACGGGUACAUAAGGCAUGGGAAUCUCCCGAAGAGUUUGAGCCAAAUCCUAAAGAAGGCUAAAAAGCGUUGUUCGAUGAGUCUACGUAGUAUUAGGUCAUUAGUCACGUAAAGGCUGACCAAGCCAAUAAUGCUUAGAUGGUCUUUUUGGAUGAUCAGCCACACUGGGACUGAGACACGGCCCGUACUCCCACGGAGGGCUGCAGUGGGGAAUCUUGGACAAUGGGCAAAAGCUCAAUUUAACAAGCAUGAGUGAAGAAAGUAGAGGGGAGUUGGUAAAUUAAAUACAAUAUUUAUUUUGAUGUUCAAGCUUAGGAUUUUAUCCAUUUUUCCAGCAAUUCUCGUUUCUUUUAUGAGAGUAAAAGGCAAAGACUUCAUC
rnacentral:ncRNA from 1 species